rnacentral:rRNA from 1 species
UACGUAGGGUGCAAGCGUUGUCCGGAAUUAUUGGGCGUAAAGAGCGUGUAGGCGGCCCGAUUAGUCCGCUGUGAAAGUCCAGGGCUCAACCCUGGAAUGCCGGUGGAUGCUGUCGGGCUAGAGUCCGGAAGGGGCGAGUGGAAUUCCUGGUGUAGCGGUGAAAUGCGCAGAUAUCAGGAGGAACACCAAUGGCGAAGGCAGCUCGCUGGGACGUGACUGACGCUGAGACGCGAAAGCGUGGGGAGCAAACAGG